rnacentral:tRNA from 2 species
UGGGGGGUAGUUCAGCGGUAGAACGUUGGCCUCUGAAGCCAAAUGCCGGAGGUUCGAAUCCUCCCUCCCCAGCCA